CAGCAGCCACGGGAAUACGGAGGGUGCAAGCGUUAAUCGGAGUUACUGGGCGUAAAGCGCAUGCAGGCGGUUUGUUAAGUCAGAUGUGAAAUCCCCGAGCUUAACUUGGGAACUGCAUUUGAAACUGGCAAGCUAGAGUAUGGCAGAGGGGGGUGGAAUUCCACGUGUAGCAGUGAAAUGCGUAGAGAUGUGGAGGAACACCGAUGGCGAAGGCAGCCCCCUGGGCCAAUACUGACGCUCAUGCACGAAAGCGUGGGGAGCAAACAGGAUUAGAUACCCGCGUAGUCCCUGUCUCUUAUAC
rnacentral:rRNA from 1 species